GAAAUAUAAGGAUUAAGAUAAAGCUUCUAACUUUUCUCUUUAGCGGUUUAACUCCGUUAAUAUUUCU
rnacentral:tRNA from 1 species